UACGGAGGGUGCAAGCAUUAUCCGGAUUCACUGGGUUUAAAGGGUGCGUAGGCGGGUAGGUAAGUCAGUGGUGAAAUCUCCGAGCUUAACUUGGAAACUGCCGUUGAUACUAUCUAUCUUGAAUGCUGUGGAGGUUAGCGGAAUAUGUCAUGUAGCGGUGAAAUGCUUAGAUAUGACAUAGAACACCAAUUGCGAAGGCAGCUAGCUACACAGUUAUUGACGCUGAUGCACGAAAGCGUGGGGAUCAAACAGG
rnacentral:rRNA from 1 species